rnacentral:pre_miRNA from 1 species
AGUAAGUUUUGGGGCAAAACCCAAUAGAGUCUCAGACGGUGCAUUUACAUACAAGACAUAUUUGUAAUGCCCUUGCUGAGAUUCCAUUGGUACCACGUUCCACAUUCAU